UGGUGGUGGUGGCUCAGGCCAUCAAGGCCAAGGCUCCAUCUGCAUUGGAGGUGGCGGCAUGGGAGGAGGAGGAGGAGGUGGAGGUGGAGGUGGUGGCUCAGGCCACCAAGGCCAAGGCCCCAUCUGCAUCGGAGGCGGCAGCAUGGGAGGAGGAGGUGGAGGUGGUGGCUCAGGCCACCAAGGCCAAGGCCCCAUCUGCAUCGGAGGUGGCGGCAUGGGAGGAGGAGGGGGAGGUGGUGGCUCAGGCCAUCAAAGCCAAGGCCCCAUCUGCAUCGGAGGUGGCGGCAUGGGAGGAGGAGGGGGAGGUAGUGGUGGUUCAGGCCACCAGGGCCAAGGAUCCAUCUGCAUUAUCGGAGGAGGUGGCUCAGGCCACCAGGGUCAGGGAUCAUCCUCUUGUGGACAAGGUGGAAGUGGUUCUUCAAGUUCUGGAGGUAUGUCCAUUCAACAGCAGACCCAGCCGAUCUCCUGGCCACCACAAAGUAAGCACAAGUAGUGUCUGCAGAACGGACUCUCGGAUCAAGAAAUGCCAAGAAACGUGCCUCGCCUCUGUUUCUCUAUUAAAUUUAAGAAUAUUUCCAUUAUUCCUUUCUCCACCUUGGGACAUUCCUGUUCAGCUCUCAAGCUGACUAGAGCCUCUAGGAUUCUGUGUCAAUAACUUCCAACCACAGUUGUUUCAAAUGUCUGUUUUCUGCCUCAAAUUUCUCAUGCUUGCAUAAGUUAAUAAAACUUGCACUUCUGGAGAG